rnacentral:lncRNA from 1 species
GGGGCACUCCUCCUUCCCCACCGGGGGGGCUGUUCCCAUCAUUCUUCAACUUCGGGGGGUUCGGUUCCAUUCAUUCUUCUUCCCCACGGUGGGCUUCUCCCAUCAACUAAGCUCUUGGGAGGCAGAGUCCCACGGGAAACAAAGGAGAGAGAGGAGUUUGGCUAUUUUGGGAAUAUUUCAAAGGAGAAAGAGAAGGAAGGAAUGGGAGCCCGCUGCUGUGCUGCUGCUGCCAUCCACCACUCCAUGGAAGGCUGAUCUCCUCACUAGGGCUGGAUGCAGCCCUAACAAAGGGACACGGGUUUUAUAUUUUAUUUUAUAUUCUUGGGGUUGUAUGAACUUAUUGUUUUCAAUAGAUAUCUUCUUUUGAAUCAUAUUUAAUUUCUGUGAUUUUAA